rnacentral:lncRNA from 1 species
AUGAGGCCUUCAGCUUCAGCUUGCACUGGGCCCUUAAGCCUGGUUUGUUUCCAUGGAAAAGAGCAUGACAAAAGAUUGAGUGUCGACAUGUCCCUGGCAGCAGGCAUGAACUUGGGGCACUCUGGCCAGUUGUCCACGUCAGGAGGAGACCAGGGACAAAAGGAUCCCAGUUGCGGCCCCUGGGUCUGGUCCAUUGGCAGAGAUUCCUGGGAGUCAACCUGCCAUCAAGUCAACUGUUUUGCCUCAGAUGUUUCAGCCCAGGUUCAACUUUGGAAAUUCAGAUUCUUAUGUCUUCAGGUCCUGAGCCUCCAUUUGACUUUCCGUCUCUUCCACUGAGGAUUGUAGAGUUAAGUCAGGAAAGAAAAUGGCUGUGCACAGAGGGAGAAUUGAUCACUGUCUGUUCUUCAAAGACACUUCUGUGGCAGUGGUUGGGGCUGUUAGUGCUCACUGCCCUGACAGAGACCUGCUUCAACAGGGUACGAAG